AGCUUUAUUGGGGCAAAAGCAGCAAUGUUUUGACCUACCGGUAAAGACCAGUACCAGGUCAACCGGUACAAAACAUUGCUGCUUUUGCCCCAAUAAAACU